UAUUAUUGCCUCAGCAUUUAGGCUGCCUCACACAGAUCUUGUCUGACCUCAGAAGCUAAGCAGAAUUGGUCCUAGUUAGCAUUUGGCUAGAAGACUCGGCUAGGCUAGGCGGUCAAAAUUA
rnacentral:rRNA from 1 species